rnacentral:lncRNA from 1 species
UCAUGACUCUCAGAAGGGGCCAAUCACCACCACACAUAACAGGGGUUGGAGGUAUCAAUAGGGAAGGAUUUUUAUCCACUGGCAAAGGAGGGACAUCAUCUCCCAACUCAGCUGCUAACCUUUCUGCAACAUCCUGUAGACCAUGGACAGAUGCUGUAAUAUAAGCAAGAGGUAAGUGACCAGCAUUCUCCAAGAUCUUAACUCGUUCCUGUAUAUCACCAAGGUACAAAGCAUUGUGAAACUGACCCAUAACAUCAUUCUUAACUUCUGCAAUUUUCAGCAUCUUGGAUAGCUUUUCCAGGUUACCAUUUACGAGAUAAAGAAAAGACAAUCUCUCAAAGUUCUUAGUCCUCUGGUAGGCAUAUUCCACAAUAGCAGCAUUGCCUUGGCGAAGGGCCUCCACACCCAACCUAUACCAAUGAUCUUUGUCAUCAAUCUCCUUAGCUGAUGCGACAGCAAUUUGAAUGUUCCCACUCUCUAAAGCCAAAUUAAAGCGUGUUUUCUCAUCUUUGACAAAAUGGAGAGCCACUUCAGG